rnacentral:sRNA from 1 species
AUAUAUUUCCACCCGACCGAUACACUUAUAGAAAAGAAGUGGACUUUUACUUUUCAGAAAAUGAGGCUAAUCUUGAGUGCUCCCCAAUUGAACCUCAGCCUGAAGUUGAUGAGCCUACUCAAAGCACAUAUAAGUUGGUAAGACCUCUAAGAGUAUUUCAAAAUGAAACUCCUCAAAGUAUAUAUAAAGUGUGCUCCAGUUUUUUACCUCUGUCGGAAGAUGAUGUAACCCCGAAAUGUACUUGUAAAGAGUGCUCGUCAAUUAAGACUGGAAAAAUUUUCCAGAAGUAAGACAUUCAAGAAUAUUUCCUUAGUUUAAUUUCAGUCUUACUAACCUGCUACUUUCAUUAUUUUUGCAUACCUAAAUAAUGACCAAUGUAAGUUAGUGAUAAGCUUCUUUAUGGUCUGUAAUAGAUAUUGAUUUCAACUAUCCUAUAUGGUAGUUAAUGGAUCUACUUUGUAACAGUUAUAAGUUGAUUUUUUUUAUAUUGUUUUUAUGUAUUAAUUAUUGUGUUGUGUGUGUGUGUUAUCUCAUUAGAAGUAUUUAUUGCUUGUGAUUCAUAGAAAUUAUUCUAUGCAACAGUGUAAUUUUUUCAAAUGAAAUCAAUUAUUCAUGGUGCUUAAUUUUUUGUUAUAUUUUUGUAAAUAUUAAUUUUUCAAAUAUUACUGGAGAUAGGACUAUUGGUGGAAAUGUUUCUUAAGAUUUUGCUUGUUGUUUUAUUGUUUUAUUCAUAAAAAAUAUUUUGGGAAGAUACGUUAACUCUUUUUGUUAAUUUUACUCCAUUCUGCAAAAUAAUCAACGAUAUUAUCGUCGAUGCUUAAAAAGUCAAUUGUUUUGUUGUCUUUCCUUACAAAUUUCUUUUUAUUGCUUAUACAUAGGUCUUGAAUAGUUACCCUUUGGAAAAAAAUUACAGAUUUUUUCAUUUUCGUAUUUUUACAAAUAAACGAUGUUUUUAAAUAGCGGGGGCUAAAAGGCUCUAUAUUUCUAUACUAAUUUUUUAUAAGGGGUGUGACAUGGGAUAGUGACCUCAUGACGAUUAACAUAAAUGUUAAAUAUUAAGUUUUGUGAAAAUAUAAAUAGUUAUCAUAAAAAUUACUUUUUAUUCAAUUCGGAUAAUAAAAUAUUGCCUAGUUCUAGUCUAGAUGUAGUUUUGAGAGAGAAUUAUCCACAGUCAUGAAAUUGAAAUUUGUAAAUUGCAUUAUCCAAAAUAAACUUUCAUUUUGGUUUAUAAACAUCAAUUAAAAUUAUCUAAAAAGGGUG